UUUCACUCCAACCCAAUCCUUUCUACUCUCCUUUCUCUCUCUCAAUUACCUUAAACAUCUAAUCCUAAUUUUCACUAUCUGAGCCUUUGCUCACAUUUCACUCCCAAUCAAACCCUUUCUCUUCUCUCUAUUUUUACGGAUUCUUCAAAAUUCGAUUUCAAAAAACCAUUUUUCAAACCCUUUAUUAUCUUUUAUUGUUCAAUGUCAACGGAGUUACACGUUUUGAGAUCUGAUAUUUCAACAAAAAUGCUUGAUGUUUAUGCGAAUUUUGGUUUAUUUCAUGGCAUAUUUUAGGAGUUUCAUUUGAUACUCUAAGAGGUAAAGGCAAAAUUUGGUUCUUUUCUAGGCAUUUUUAAGGAGGUUGUUGAUUCAUUCUUGCCAUUUAUGCAGUGAAAAUCACAAAGUUUGUAUUGGUUGAUUAGUUUAGUUUUAGAGGUUGAGUAAAUUUGUAAAAUAAUUUAUUGAACAUCAAUAAAUGUAAUAAACAAUAUUUUCAGUUAUGUAAUCAUAAUUUUUUUA